CUGUGGUAAAUAAGACAAUCAACAAGUUUGUCUCCUGAGUAAUAUCACGUUCUAGCUAAAGUGGGAAAGAUAUGAUAUAUUGGAGGUAAAUGAGAAUAUUAGCUUCCUGUUCCUCGCUUAGUGGACGAGAGAGAGCAUCCAUUUGAUGUGGAAAACAAUAAUGGCACACAGUUUCCAAGAGUAACACCAAAGAGAGUCAGCCACCAUCCCCGUUAGAACCUGUUCUAUCUACUUGUUCCUCAGCAAGUGAUCAGAGGACUGGAAAGAACACAAUAUCAGAAAACAGUGCUCAAGAGAACUAUCAGCUGUUGCAAUCAGGACCUGUUCUGUUUGCUUGUUCCUUAGCAAGUGAUCAAAGGUCUAAGAAG